rnacentral:rRNA from 1 species
GCGCGAUUGAAUGAGCCGAUGUCGGAUUAGCUAGUUGGCGGGGUAAAGGCCCACCAAGGCGACGAUCCGUAGCUGGUCUGAGAGGAUGAUCAGCCACACUGGAACUGAGACACGGUCCAGACUCCUACGGGAGGCAGCAGUGGGGAAUAUUGGACAAUGGGCGCAAGCCUGAUCCAGCCAUACCGCGUGGGUGAAGAAGGCCUUCGGGUUGUAAAGCCCUUUUGUUGGGAAAGAAAUCCAGCCGGCUAAUACCUGGUUGGGAUGACGGUACCCAAAGAAUAAGCACCGGCUAACUUCGUGCCAGCAGCCGCGGUAAUACGAAGGGUGCAAGCGUUACUCGGAAUUACUGGGCGUAAAGCGUGCGUAGGUGGUUGUUUAAGUCUGUUGUGAAAGCCCUGGGCUCAACCUGGGAACUGCAGUGGAAACUGGACAACUAGAGUGUGGUAGAGGGUAGCGGAAUUCCCGGUGUAGCAGUGAAAUGCGUAGAGAUCGGGAGGAACAUCCAUGGCGAAGGCAGCUACCUGGACCAGCACUGACACUGAGGCACGAAAGCGUG